rnacentral:lncRNA from 1 species
UAUUAACAUAACUAGACAGAAAUAAACUAGAAACCUGUAUGUAGAAAGACUUCACCAGAGAUGAUAAUUAAAGUUCAGUAAAAAUACUCAGUUUUUAAGCUUAUAUUCAAUUUAUUUUGAAAAAGAAAAAAAAUGCAGUGGGAUGCUUCACUCUUCUCUGGCAUUGCAUAGAUUUUCCAGGCUUUGACUCACCUGCUUCUGUUUGGCAUUAUGGUACUGCCUACUUGCAGAUAAAAGACUGCAGAAUGUAAAGUAAGAGUGUUUUGAUUUGGGUCCUGGGUGUAAUAACUGUUAAUCUGAUUGCCAUCAGGUAUGUGAAUUUUUUUUGCACUUCAGAGUUUUCAGAUGUGAAAUGAGGGUAAUAGACUUUAGAGGGGUAGUGGGAGGAGCGAAAACAAAUGUAGGUAACAGACUCUUAGAAAACUGAAUGCCAUACAAAUGCAAGUGGUUAGUAGGACUGUAUUAAAUUUUUUUGCUAAGAGGCUUGCUUUCUUUUCUGUUUGUUUGUUUGUUCCUUUUAUAACAGUGUGGUGAGGAGAAAGGAAGUGCCAGAUUUAUCCCAUGAUCUGAAAUUCGACCACAUAUGAGCAACUGUAUAUGAGAAAGAGCUACUAAGUAAGACAUUCUGUUUCCUGGUGAGGAAGGAGAGAGUAAUGACCAAACCAUGCUCCUGGUGUUAUAUACCCAGUCAUUCAACAAGACCUCCCAACUAGAGCAAAAUGGAAAAAGGUUCUCCAGAUCAUUACUCUGCCUCUGAUUGUUGCAUUAUACGACAUACAGGGAUAUUCAUUGCUUAAAAAGAUAAAAAUUAUUUCCUUGAUUUGUGAGUAUAAACUUCAGUUCAAAGAUCUAUUGUUAUAUUUGACUUGCUUUUUGGCACUUGCACAAACUAUAUUUUUCUGAUUAGAAAAAGCAGCAUUCACCUGAAUCUGCAGAGAUAGCCAUUGCUGACAGUGGUCAAACACUGAUAACUUGAGGAUAAUUUUGUCUAUUGUUUUGAAACCAUUUGAAAUAUUUUCUUGCAUCUUCCUUUUCCUUUUUUGGUAAUCUUGUUACAUUUUUUUAAAUGAACUUUAAAAAUAGUGUCUACAAUUUUCCUUUCCUAUAAUCUACAAACUUAUUUUGG